GUCAGGGCCUGCUCUCUCACAGAGAAGCCCCCUGAGAUGUUGAAUAGGUCAGUCAUCAGUACCAUGCAAUGCUAUCCAGGAAGAAAUUAUAUUUUUCAAGAUAACUACAUGCACACAGGCGAAUUCUGUACAGAGAUGGGCAACUCUAUCAUCAUUGACAAGCUUUGAGAAACAGCUUCAGGGUGAAUGAUUUUAUCUGGC
rnacentral:lncRNA from 1 species